GCUAGCUAACCAACGACUUAAGAAGGUCAAAUACAGACAAAUAUGUGUUGGAGAAAAAACGGCAGAUGUCAUACAUAAAAGAAUAGGAGAUAUUCAAUAAAUCUAUUUUGGAAUUGCAAUUACAAAGCAAGCUAAAUAUAUCUGUAAAAAUAUAAUAUACCUAAAAUGAACGUCUGCCGUACCUAGAGAAUUAUAAAAUAGAACCAAGCUUUUAAUAUCCCACAAAGACAACUUAUAUGGAAAAUGCACUAAGAAUAACAUUCCUAUUAAUUAUCUGGAACGUAAAUCUUCCCUAAGAUGUGUAUACUCAUAGAGCCGCUUACCGUCUGAUAAACCGGCACGUCCAUAAGCCAACACUUUGAAUUAGAGCUGAAGCAAUUUCAUCUAGAUUGGAACAAAGAUAAGUGUACUUAAUUAAUGUUCUCAUUUAUAGACCGAAUUGUGUUCCGCAAUAUAUUAUAUAUUUAUUGGACAUUUGUUGUUAAGUACUAGAUUAUUUUUGUAACUUCCCUUAUCAUAUCUUUUACUAUCGGUUGUGUCUACACAACAAAUAAUAUUUUGUCAAUUUUUCAUCUAAAUCUCAAUGCAUGUAAGGGAACAUAAGUACUUAUAGACCUAAAGCAUUGGUCUCUAUAGGGUUCAUUACAUAAUAACUUAGGUAUUGUGGUAGAUAAUAUACAAGUAUAUUAAUACGGUAUUAUGAAGAAUAUCAUCUGGUUCUGUUGACUAGCACUCACUAUUGUUUUUCUGUCUCUUUAUUGUUUGUAUCUGAAAGAAACGUAAACUCAUAGAAAUCAUUUAAUAGUCGGAAACUUUUACGUUAUCUGCUUAUAUCUUGGCAACCAAAAUUUUAACAUUACUCAUAUUCAUUAUUUAUAUUAUUAAUUAAAUUUUACUAUUAUAUAUUCAUCUUGCAGGCCAAUGUUUUACAUUAUUAUACAUUAUUUAUAUUUUUAGCUAGAAAUUUUACAUUAUAUAUAUAUACAUUAGUUACCAAAAUCUUACUUUACAUAUAUCUAGGUAUUUUUUUUUACACAAUAAAAAUAAGGUAUACCUA
rnacentral:lncRNA from 1 species